AAUGCACAGUUAGCAGCCUGUCUCUGAGGCUGCAAAUCAGAAUUUUGCUUUUAAUUUUCAUGUAGACCCUGGUCUGCCUAGCACUCUGGGAACCCAGAAAAUGGCCCUCUUCACUGUCCUCUAACUGCACAUCUUGCAGACAUGCUCCAAGUGUCUCAGUUCUCACAGGGCCCAUCUGUCCCCCUGGACACAGAGCACACUGGGGAGAUGUAAUUGCAGCCAGGGACCCUGGCAAGAAGAAA
rnacentral:lncRNA from 1 species